rnacentral:snoRNA from 1 species
GGUGCAAGUGACGAUGAAAAGACAGGGACAUCAGAGAUUCUCCGAAAUGAUGACUAAUGUCUAAAUGGGAAUCUCUCUGAUGCACU